UAGAAAAGUACUUUGACCAAGGAGACACAAAGAAGUGACAGAAUAAAGAGGAAUUUAUUAUGUUCGGGGAUUAAAUUGCACGUCAACGCAUGUUUUCAUCAUUGGAAGGACGUCCAAUGAUAAAUGUCCUUCGAUCUGCCUUUCAAAAUGUUGAAUUAAUUGGAAAUGGACUACAAACCCUGAACGAGAGAUGCGACCUUUGGUGUAAGAGAAUAAAGAUAAACGUGUAAUUUGCCUACGGAAAAGUGUACGUACGACUGUGAUUACGAGUGUCAUCAAUCGUGAGAAAGUAUGUAUAUACUCGCGACCUUUUACAUCGUCACCGUUAAUUCACAACGUCCUCGCAAUAAAUUAGGACGAAACUCACGGCCAGCUUACUAUGUACUUGCCUACGUGCCCGGUGAACAUCGCUAGAUCUAUCGAUGGAAAAUAAACGGCAUACCCAUUAUGAUGUUAUUUUACGAUGUAAUUUCACGACGAUUUCGCUACGAUCAAAACUGGAACGACCAUAAUAAUUUUUUUUUUCUUAACAAAUAUAAUAAAAUUUUAUUACAUUGCAAAAUUAUUCUUUAGAGUGUCUCUCAACUCUUUUUUGAAUUUCAAUCUUUUUUUGUGAUAUAUUUCAAAUAACUUUUGAUAUUAUUUCUUUUCAAUAUAUAAACUUUUUUUUUAAAUUAAAGAUGAAAAAAAAUCAACGUUGUUUUAGAAUUAAAAUUAAUAAUCCAAAACUAUUUCUCAACCAAUAAGUUGAGAAGCAUUGGUCUACAUCGAAAUUUAUCAAAAUCUCUUCUUCUUGUAGGAAAACAAAAAGAAAGCGAAGAUAUGUAAAUCUUCUAGUAUCCUCCGGAAGAUUCUGGAUGAGAAAUAGUCGACGUGUGGUAGGAGACUGGUAUUACUGGAAGACGGAGAAGCUAAGGAAAGAGGAAUAGUAGUAAAAGAUAUAUAGGAUUCGCAGCUAAAUCGUCGAUGCUGUUACGUACGUAGCGCAUCGUUCACCGAGCUGGCAAAUGGACAACAUCUGCAAUGGACAGAUACGUGUUGUGAUACGUGUUGAAUACGUGUUGUGUCUUUAGUACUUAGGAGUGAGAUAGAGAUAGAGAGAAAGAUUUCAGGGAGGAAUUAACUGAAAUCAAGAGUAGGUGGGAGGUCGAAUAGCGUCCUCUCAUUACGGCCGCCCCUUGGUCCCGGGAUCGUUCGACGAUCCUUGUACGUGUGUCGUCUCUUGUUCACGCUAAAGAUGGGUGUAUAACAAUCGUAUACAGUAUACCUCCAAAUUUAGAUUCGAGGGUGACUUACUGGUGGAUUUUUCGAGCACUCUUUUGCGAACCUGUGCUAGACAUACCUCGUGGGGCACCUUUAAACAAAACGAUCAUUCGUUAUUGGGCUCGGUUCGAGUCGACCGGAUUCACUAGGAUCGAUAUGGGGUCGCUAAGAUCAUCGCUUAUGACGAAGGAAGGUGGACGAAUCUUUUUGAUUGGUUAUCGAAUUUCGUUGCUCGUUACUGGUCGCUGUUGAGCGUUAUUUAUAACCGUCUGUUGAUAAAUAUCGAUCGUCAAUAAUUCUUAUUGACUUAAGAUUUUCGAAAUUUUUUGAGAUUAUAGAUACAGUAGUCUGGAAUUUUGUUGAAAAAGUAAAAAAUGGAAAAAUAAAGUACUGUAUAUGAAGAAAUUAGAAGCAUCGUGACGAUGAGGUGUCGAGUUGGCGCAUGUGAAACAUCGUUUCGAUUUCACGGGGCAACGACGUCCCAUGAAUUUUCUUAUCGAGCACGUUAAAACGAAUAUACGUACACGGAAUAUGCAAAUUACAUGAUAUUUGAUUUUCCUCGAUAAGAAUUUAACUUUUCUGCUGACACGCGUCGCAUACAGAUUCGAACGUUUUAAGCAAUUUUCAAAUUACUUUCUAAGAUCAUUCGAGAGAUAAACAAUAUGAAUACGAAUGCAAUUAAAUGAUUUAUUUAACAUUUCAAGAAAUAAGGUAUUUAAUUUCGAUGAAAAUAACUAGUUUUUUAAUAGUUACUAGAUACUUAGUUAUUUAGUUACUUAAUAUUAAAUUACUAUAAAAUAACUAGUUUUUAUUCUGCUUCUGAUCAAUACUUAUCCGAUUAUCAGGCUUAUCUCUGAAAAAGAAAUUCAAGUUCGACAAUCUUUUAUCUCAGAAAAAAAAAAAAUACGCAAAAUCUUCUCGAAAAAAAGCGAAAAACGACUUUACAUACGCGUCAACUCAACGUAAAGAGAAUAGAUCUUGGUGAAAUGAGCAACAGACGCAAAGAGACUCACUGUUUCUGAUUACUUGUAUCAGUGAUAGGCACUCGUGUUCUAAUAAUAAGUACUCGUACUGACACACGAGGCGAGUCUGCGUGAAUCAGGCGACACCAACACACGUGAAAACACACGAUAAAAACUCUGGAACCCGAGACGGUCCGCGUCUACACAACGACGAAUGCGGACAGUCCGGUAUCCGGUGGUCGACCAGCGUCGAGCAUGCACAAUGAUACGUCAUUUUCGUGCCUCGAGGCGUUUUGUCAGAGUCAUCUCGCCGGCAAUCGACGACUUCCGCCCGCCUACAAUCGCUUUCAUCCGCCAUUGGAAAAAUGGCAUCGACGUUUCUUCGUCUAUAUUUUUCUUUUGCAUAUACUAUAUGCAAUAUAUAUAUAUAUGUGAGUCAUGAAUUUCUUCUUAACCUGUUCAGAUUGUAUUUUGCGAUAUCAAAGCGAAGUUCUUGAAUAAAUUUUAAUUAAAAAAAAAAAACUGAUGCAUAUAGUCAAUGUACCUGAAGAGGUUAAUAUUGGGAUAACAGAGGAAUGGAGGAAAUUUUGAAAAAAAUGUUUAUAUUUAAACAUUGUAUCACAUGUAUUAUUGACAAAUUAAUCAUUCGAAAUUUCUUUACAUUCUUUUUAUCUUUUUACUUCUUAAUACGAAUACGUAUAGGUUAUGUUAUUAUUUUUAGUUCUAAUCUAUUCAUCUGAAGAAUGAGAAAUGUUAAGAUUGAUGAUAAAUAUAUAAAAAAAAAGAAAAACAGAAAAAUAAAUUUCAUUGGCAUCCAUUUUCAAGGUGGAAGUCGUCGAUUCCAGGAUGGAAAGAAGCCACCAACACCACACUUAAGCUUCUCCCAUGCGACGGUAGGGGUAAUCGGUACUUACUGUUCUUCUUGUACAGCAGGAUCUCGAAUUGAUCGUGAAUCUGGCCCUCGAGGCAUUCCUCGAUCCUGGCGAUCGUCUCUUUGUCCGUCAACUCCCCGUACAUGAAUCCGCAGCGGCAGGACUUUUGCAUAACCUAACGGCAAAUUCGACACUUUUCAUCUUGCGAAUUCUCCGUUCUCUUUUUUGAGAUUUUUAAAAAAUAAUUCAGAGAUCUAAAAGUACUCAAAUAGCAACUUCUCAAAGAUUUUGAAUAAAUUUUUGUAACAAAGUAUUAUCCUCGGAUCUCGAUUAAUUUUUUAACGUGUUAUCAAGAAUAUGACAACGAGUUAAGUUAGGUCAGAUUAGUUGUAAUAUAAUCCGUGAAAAAUUACAUAAAUUUUUGUUUGAGUAAUUAAUUAUUACAUUUUUAAUUUCACUUUAUAUCAAUCAAAAUAAAUGAUUCAAUUGAUUUUAAUCCGAUCAAUAAUCUAAUUUAAACUGUCUCGAAAAAACAUUAUUAAUUUUUUAAUGAGCAUUAAUAAUCGAGUAAAAAAAUUUCAACAAUUGACAUUAAAAAAAUCAUCGAGAUCAGGAAAUGAUAUAAACAAUUAUUUUUUUUAAGAAAAAUAAAAAUAAAUCGAUUUAUAGAAUAAAAAAAUCUAUCUAUCCGGAUAACAUUUCACAUUUACCAAUCUUUCUAUCGUGUUCUCGAAUAAUACAAACACGUGAAAAAAAAACAGAAAAAGAAAUUCAAUUUCAUCCCUGAAUUAGCACCGUCAUAUCCAUACGGGAAAACAACAUUGAAAAGCGUAUUAUUGUUCGGUUGGUGAAACAGGAGUUGUACACGAUAGUCCGUAUUGGUUCGAAACGGUUCGAACGUAACCAAGUGGAUUUAAUUGCGGAUAAAGAGGAACAAAAGGGUAGAAAAAAAAUAAUGGAAAAUAGUUGAAUUAGGGAAAUCGACGAGUCCUCGCUAGAUUCCAGACGUGCUCCUCUUCUUUUUCUUUUUUUUUUUUUUUCCUUUCUCGUAUGAAAUUAUAAUUAUAUUAUACAUAGAUUGAAAUUGUGCAGAUGGUUCACACCUGUGUGAAUCGCAAAGUUUGGUUGGAAGCGAAACGAUAAAGAUUGAAAAGGUAAAUGGUGGAGGGAGCAAAGCGCGGUCGUGGAGCGAAAAGAGGCUUAGGGGAGGGUGGAGCAGGGUAUUUACCUCGGCACGAUUAUAGCCAGAGAUUUUGCAAAAGCUUUCGUUGCAAUAGACAAUAGGGAAGUCGACGAUCUGAGCGUUCGCCAGGAGAAAACUGCUGUCAGCUGUGAACAGAAAAAAAUGAAUGUUAAUAUAUUCAAUUUUUAAAUUUUUGACGUAUUAAAAAAUUAAAAAAAUUUUCUAUCGUCAAAUGAUAUAAUCGAAUAAACCCAAAAUCGAUGCUCUCGAAAAUUUACUUUAAAGAAUUAUAAAAAUGCUAUAAAAAAAUAAAUAAUUUGCACGCUGCAUUUUAGAACUGCGCAACGAUCAAAAUAUUUUAAUUAAUGCGGUGAUUCUUUGUAAAAUAAUAUAUCCAUUUAUACUCGCUCGGUAAUAAAGUCGCAAUAACAACGAUGAUUUUCCGCAUAACCGGUUUCCAUAUUCCGUGGAAAUUCCAACCACUUCAGCCCUCUCGCACGGUCAGGUUUUCUCAUCCACUUAUUCGUUCGCGGCACACGUAACGCAUUAACGAGCUUUAUACCCUUAUUCGUCGAGCUGAGGGGGAAAAAAAAAAAGAAAGAAAAAAAAAUUGUCAUUGAUCGAAUAUCCCCCUAUUGCUCGAUCGACCUUCUACUUUGAAUUCCUUCGGGAUUUCUACGUAUCUACGUAUAUUCUUCAAUUUCGAGAAUCGAAUCUAAAUCUCGAGCGACGUUUGGAAAGAAAAGAUAGGGGAAACUUUCAUUUUUUCCCCUAGAUAAUUUUUCGAAAGUAGAACCUCUUUGAAGGAGCAUAGGGAAUUUUUGCUUUUUCCCCUAGAACGAAAUGAAUAAAUUUCCGAGAAUUUUUAAGGAAAUUUCAUUUCAUUUUUUUUCUGAAGAAUUUUUCAAAAUUCCAAUUCUCGAUUACUGAGAUUUUCUCCUAGAAAUUUGGAUAAAAAAUUUCCAAUGGUGGAACAUCGUUCCGUUAUUGAAAUCCAGAUCUCGAGGAUAAUUUCUAGACAAAUUUCACUUUUUGACGGGACGGGAAAGAAUUUUCCAAGAAUCAUCGAGAUAAUCGAUUCUCGACAAUGUAGAUUUUUAGGGAAAUUUUAUUUUUCUCUAGAAACUCUGGCUAAAUUUCCAAAUAAUGGAAUAUUUGUUCCAUCGUCGAAUUAAUUUCUAGGGAAAUUUUCCUAGAUAAUUUUCCAAAAGUCGUCGAAGUCAAUUUUUCUAGGGAAAUUUCUAGAUAUAUUUCUAAUACUGCAAUAUCCUUCUAUCGUCGAAGCUCAAGAGCGACGAUUGGAAGGAAAGAAGAAUAGGAAAUUUUUAUUUUCCCCCCGAAAAAGCUGGAUAAAUUUCCGAAAAUAGAAUAUCGUUUGAUCGUCCAGCUGUUUCUUUAUUAAAACGGAACGGCUGUGUUUUUCCAUCUGUUUGUCGGUGUACACUCGCGAGCCAGGCCGACUGUGUUUUCCGUUACGUUUUCCUUUAUUCUUCGCGUCAUUGAACGCUCCACCCACGAUUCGAUUUAAAAAAAAAAACGCUCUCUUUCGUAAACCGUGACCCGCGUUUUCGACAAUAAUCCAUCUUUAAUAUUCUUAAUAUCGAUUUUUCUCCGAUGUGACGAUGAACGAUCCUCUCAAAUUUCCAAACAUUUUCUUUCAUCUUUUUCUUUUCAUCAAUUUGAAUCUUCUAAAAAAAAAAAGAUGACAAAUUUGACGAUAAAAAUAGAAUAAAAAUUCGUAGAAAGGUCGAUGCUUUAAUUAAAGGAGAAUACAGAAACAGAUGAAGACGGAAAUCUAACCUAACCUGGCUUUAGUGCGAGAAGAAAAUUAAGAAAAGUCUUCGUCGAAAAUGAGGAAAGGUGAAAAAAGAAUAAUACAAAAAAAAGAAGAAAAACGACGAAUAUUUCUUCGAAAGAAAGAAUGUGUGAAGAAAUUCGUUAUUUAAUCGAAUUAAAUAUAUAAAAUGUAUAUUUAUAUAACGUACAAAAAUACAUAAAGAAUAAACGAGGUCCAACAUAACCUAAUCUAAUUGAGAGAAAAACUCUUCUAUUUUCCUCGAAUCUGAAAAACGAACAUUAAAAAAAAGAAAAAGAAAGAAACAACGAGAAAACAAUAUGUGAGAUCAAAUCAAAUAAAUAAAACGAUCUUCAGUCUAAUUAAAAAAAAAUUAAGAAACGUGGAGAAAGAAAGAAAGAAAAAAGAAACGAGAGAUUUCUUUAAAUCGAUAUAAUCGAAAUCAAAGGAAUAAAACAAAGCGAAACAAUGAUCUUCGUCAAAAAUAAAAAAAAAAAAUAAAAAAAAGAAGAAAAUAUCCUUGGAGGAAAAUAUUCAAAAAUUGUUGUGAUCUGGAUUUUUGCUAAUGGACACGAACGAGAAGAUAAGGAAAAGGCGGAAAUUUUUUUGCUGUUUUGCAAUUAUUCUCGCCAAUUCCAACUCUUGGAGUCCACUACUUGGAUAUUUCAAAUUGCCACUUUUUUUUAUUAUAUUUUUUAUUAUAUUAUGUUUGUUGGAUUAAGGAGGACGAAGGUGAAAGAUGAGGAUGAGAAUGUUUAUUAUUAAUUCGUAAUAGUAAACACGCUUGGAUUCGCCAUUGUUGGAUUUUUUAAUAUCGAUGAAAAUGAAAAGUGGACGUAAUUUUCUGUAUACGCAGAGAUCAGGAUUUUUUUCUCAUUAUCUUGGCGGAGUGCAAAGUUUAUUUUAUUACUUUCCGCGAAGGAAUUCGCAAUUUCGCUCCAGUGCAUUCUUGGAUUUUGAAACUACCAUUUUUGGGGAUAUAUUUAUCGAAUCAUAUAAAGAAGAUGAAAAAAAGAUGGACGAUUUGCAAUUUUGCCCUUUUAAUUAUCUUCAAUUCUUGAAAAUUCUCUUUCAAAGGGAAAAGAAUGGAAUUGCAAUUCCAAAAAACAAAAAUAAUUAUCCCAAUUAUUUUUAAUUUUCAAACAACUCCAUUUUAACAAAAUAGAAAAUUUUCUUUCGAAAGGGAAUGGAAUUGCAAUUCCAAAAAACAAAAAUCGAAUAAUUACAAUUCCAUUUCCCGAUAGAAUGAGAAAAAAUUGAUUUUCAAACAGGAGUCGCAAUUGCGACAAGGAAAAAUAAACUUAAUCACUUACCGACUUAUUACGCAUUAAACGUCGAGCAGGAAAUCUUGCACGGCCUUGGGAUUUGUCUUUAUUAUUCCCCUAGAGCGAAUCACGGAUAAUAACGAUAACAGGUUCCUGUGCACGCAACGCGAACGAAACGAGCGUUCUGUGCCGCGUCCGUACCGACGCACUCCCCUGACCUGCCCCCUGAAUACGGGUCAAGGCUACGUGCACCGACCCUAUGCAACUUUCUAACCCGCCUUAUCCUUUCGAUCGUCCGGUUGAAAGUGCUCGUUCAUCCACCGAAGAUUCGAAGACGAGAGAAGAAUGUUUCGUGAAAUUUGUAUCCUAACCUAGAAACGAAGGAUUCGAAUUCGAGCGCGUAUGUGAAGUGUAAUAAGUUUAAACGAGGAGUAAUUUGUCGAUUGGAAAAUUUCUUUGAAAUCGAUGUAAUUUGUAAAGGAUGGGAAUGAAAUGUAUAUACUAUUAAUAUAUUACGUAGAACAAUUUGUUUUCGUCGUUGGAAAGUUUUCCAAGUUGAAAAAAUUCGAAUUUAAACGAAUGGAAUGAAGUAUAUUGUAUUAUUGAGCAUUUUAUUAAUGCGAAAUUUCUUCGAGAGGAUGAAAUCGUCCGAAUCGUUUCUAAUCUAAUCAAAUCUGAAAAUUCGAAAUACAUCGAACGAAAUGUUAUACAUGGAGCAAUUUGCUUUCGUCGAUGGAAAGUUUGUUUGAAAUCAGUGUCCAAAGUUUCCUAACCUAACCUAAUUUGAAAAUUCGGAUUCGAGUGAAGCGUGUAAAGCAUAAUAACAUCCACAAUUCGCGAGAUUUUAAUUCGAAUUCGAACGAAUUGAAUGCAACGACUUUUCAGAAUAUUUCCUAAAAAAAACUAAAAGUUACUAAAAAUU